AGGGAUUUAGCUCAGUGGCACAGCACAUGCCUGGCAAGCGUGAGGUCCUGAGUUCAAUCCCAGGUACCCAA
rnacentral:tRNA from 1 species